UGGCCCCAUGCCAGCUCCAAAAGCUGAUCCGGCUCCCUAAAUAGGGCUGCCCAGGUUUCUAUUUUGGAUUGUUAAAACUACUGGGAAAGAAAACAACAUGUGAAUCCAGUUCAGACAUCAUAAAUUGGUAUAACAGCCAUGAGGGGUGUACACCUGACUAAGCAGCAGAAAGGGAUUCAUCGUAGAGAUUCCACUCAGCAUCUGGACACCCCACAUUCAUAGUGCAAGAGGAUAAAUUGAAGAAGUCACAUUUAGCUGCCCUCACCUACAUGUUCCUGUUGAUUGAAAAAAUAGAUCUCCUCCACACAAACUUCCUGUUGAAGGAUCCUAAGAAAGGAUCAACACUUCCUUACAAUUGUUGAGAAUGCAAGAAGUUUAAUUGCUUACACAAGGGGAAGGUUUCUGUUAUCUACCUGAAAUUUGGCAGGACACAUUCCCUGGAUUAAGGUAUGGUCCUCUAAGAAAUCCAUCAAAAUUGAUGCCCCAUCCAUCCU